GGUCCCACAGCCGCUGGAGCGUGGGUCUUGCGACCAGGUGGGCUUCGGCCGCAGAUCGGGACAGCGCACACUCAGCUGCUUUCUGCUCCCCGACUAGGACCUCAGAGCAGACGUGGCAACCCGCUGAAUUUAAGCAUAUUAGUAGGCGAGGAAAAGAAACUAACCAGGAUUCCCUCCUUAAUGACAAGUGAAGAGGGAAGAGCCCAGCACCGAAUCCCCUUCUGGCAGUGGGCACGGGAAAUGUGGCGCACAGAAGACUCCACAGCGUCGCUCACGGGGCCCAAGUCCUUCUGAUCGAGGCUCACCGUGUUAGGCCGUUAGCGGCCUCUGGCGUGCCGGGAUCGGGUCUUCUCAGAGUCGGGUUGCUUGGGAAUGGUGGUAAACUCCCUCUAAGGUUAAAUACCUGGCCACAACCACUCAACUCCGCCUUCUUGGAGACUUUAACAUCCAGCUGGAUUCUUCCUGUCUCUCCUCUGGACUUUUUCGCGACCUCUGUGACUCUCUCUCUCUCUUUCUAUUAUCCACUCUGGCCAGACUCACUCUGCAGGGCACACUCUAGAUGUUCUGAUCUCCUCAGACCUCCCCUUCUCUAUCCCCCUCACCACUCCUCUCUCCUGGAGUGAUCACUUUCCCCUUUCCUCCGAUCUCUCCCUUUCUAUCCCUUCGGCCAAGCCAACUCCAGCACUGCCACCUACCUUCUCGGUCACCCGACCCAUGAAGCAUGUGUCAGUUUGCUUUCGCCGCCACUUUCUCUCCCCCUCUGCCUCCUCUGGCUGGCUGACUCACAUCCUGAUGUAGCCCUUUCCAUGCUCCACUCUUGAUUUUCUUGCUCCUGUCAUGAGGAUCAGCUUGAAGCCCAAAGCCAAGUGCAACUCCUGGUAUGACUCUGACCUUGUCACCCUUAAACACAAGUGCAGGGUCGCUGAGAGGAAAUGGCUAGCUUCUUGUACAUCCUCUGACAAACUGGCGUGCCACCUGCUCCAAAGGCAACAACGGCUCUCUGUCUGCACUAAGAAGACAGCCCACAUCCAAGCCUGCGUCUUUGCAACAUAUAACAACUCAGCCAAACUCUUUAAAAUCUGCCAGGAGCUGACCAAUCCUGCUGCAGUCUCUACCUCUCCUGUCCCCUCCCAGGCCCUCUGCACGGCCCUGGCUUCUCAUUUCAUCUCUAAAACCCAGGAAAUCCUGUCCACCCUCUCAUCCUCUCCUCCUCCCCCUCCCUCUAUUCUCUCCUCUACCUCUGGCCUCCAUGUGGCCACCCCUCCUCCCUCUUUCUCUUCCUUUCCUCUGUUCUUUCCUGACAAGGUUUAUAAACAAGUUCGAUCUAUUUUUCUCAUCAAAACAGGUUCUUCCCUGUUCUUCCAAAACCAUCAAGGACUGCAUUGACACCCUGGCUCCUGCCCUGGCUGACUUCUGCAACCACUCUUUCGGGGGAGAUGGUGUAAAUCUCUCACUGGGCCGUACCCAUAUCCACUGCAGGUCUCCAAGGUGAACAGCCUCUGACGUGUUAGAACAAUGUAGGUAAGGGAAGUUGGCAAGUCAGAUCCAUAACUUCGGGAUAAGGAUUGGCUCUAACAACUGGGUCGGUCGUGCUGGGGCGCGAAGCGGGGCUUGGUGUGCUCUGCGGCUGGAUGAGGCGUCUUCCACACUCCAAAGCGCCUCGGGAGGCGCUGACUCUGGGCAUGAGUCAGGCCCUCCUGUGGAUCGCCCCAGCAGCUGUCGUCGCAUCUCUCUGUUCCCCCUCCCGGGGUUCGGGCCGGUGUUCUGCUUCGGCCGGCACCUAGCAUUUGACUUGGAAAUGGUGCGGACCAAGGAAAUCAGACUGUUUAAUGAAAACAAAGCAUCGCAAAGGCCCAUGGUGGUUGUUGACGCAGUCUGAUUUCUGCCCAGUGCUCUGAAUGUCAAAGUGAAGAAGUUCAAUGAAGCGCAGGUAAACGCGGAAGUAACUAUGACUCUCUUAAGGUAGCCAAAUGUCUCAUCAUCUAAUUAGUGACGCACAUGAUUUGAUGAACCAGAGUCCCACUGCCCCCAUCUAUCUAACAAAACCACAGCCAAGGGAUCCUGCUGGACAGAAUCAUCGGGGAACCAAUACCCCGUCGAGUGUGGCUCUAGUCUGGCACUCUGAAGAGACAUGAGAGGUGUAGGACAAGUGGGAGGCCCUCGGUCUGCCGGUGAAAUAACGCUACUAAAAUAAUGUUUUCACUUACCCGGCGAGGCAGGGAGCGAGCCCCGUGGGGCUGGCUCCAAGCGCCCAGAGGGCGCAACCCGCUCCGGGGAAAGUGGCAGGUGGGAAGUUUGACUGGGGCGGUACACCUGUCAAACGAUAAUGCAGGUGUCCUAAGGAGAGCUCAGGGAGGACAGAAACCUCCCGCAUAGCAGAACGGCAGAACCUCGCUUGAUCUCGAUUUUCAGUAUGAAUACAGACCAUGAAAGCAGGGCCUCGCGAUCCUUCUGCCUUUUUGGGUUUCAAGCAGAAGGUGUCAGAAAAGCUACCACAGGCAUAACUGGCUUGUGGCGGCCAAGCAUUCAUAGAGUGGUUGCUUUUUGAUCCUUCAAUGUCGGUUCUUCCUAUCAUUGUGAAGCAGUAUUCACCAAGCAGAUUGUUCACCCGCUAAUGUGGAACGUGAGCUGGUUUUAGACCGUCGUAAGGCAGGUUAGUUUUACCCUACUGAUGAUGUGUUGUUGCAAUAGUAAUCCUGCUCAGUACAAGAGGAACUGCAGGUUCAGACAUUUGGUGUAUGUGCCUGGCUGAGGAGCCAAUGGGGCGAAGCUACGACCUGUGGGAUUAUGACUGAACACCUCUAAAUCAGAAUUCUCCCUCCACCCACGUAAAUUAACAAUACCGUAGCGCUGUGGAGCCUCGGUUGGCCUAGGAUAGCCGGCCUCUGGGCCGGUGCGUAGAGCCACUCGCCUCUGGGCUAGAGUGUGGACAGAAGGGGGGCCACCUCUCUCAUCCGUAGUGCACUGCAUGU
rnacentral:rRNA from 1 species